rnacentral:rRNA from 1 species
UACGGGGGGAGCAAGCGUUGUUCGGAUUUACUGGGCGUAAAGGGCGCGUAGGCGGCCUCCGCAAGUCACCUGUGAAAUCUCCGGGCUUAACUCGGAAAGGUCAACUGAUACUGCGGGGCUAGAGUGCGGAAGGGGCAACUGGAAUUCUUGGUGUAGCGGUGAAAUGCGUAGAUAUCAAGAGGAACACCUGCGGCGAAGGCGGGUUGCUGGGCCGACACUGACGCUGAGGCGCGAAAGCUAGGGGAGCGAACGGG